GAUUAUGGCUCAGGAUGAACGCUGGCGGCGUGCUUAACACAUGCAAGUCGAACGGAGUUAUUACGAAAGCUUGCUUUGUUUAACUUAGUGGCGGACGGGUGAGUAACGCGUGAGGAACCUGCCCUUUAGUGGGGAAUAACACCGAGAAAUCGGUGCUAAUACCGCAUAAUGUCGGGAAACCGCAUGAUUUUCCGACCAAAGGAUUUAUUCGCUUAAGGAUGGCCUCGCGUCCGAUUAGGCAGUUGGUGGGGUAACGGCCCACCAAACCAACGAUCGGUAGCCGAACUGAGAGGUUGAUCGGCCACAUUGGGACUGAGACACGGCCCAGACUCCUACGGGAGGCAGCAGUGGGGAAUAUUGGGCAAUGGGCGAAAGCCCUGACCCAGCAACGCCGCGUGAAGGAUGACGGUCUUAGGAUUGUAAACUUCUUUAAUCGGGGAAGAAUAAAUGACCUACCCGAAGAAUAAGCCACGGCUAACUACGUGCCAGCAGCAGC
rnacentral:rRNA from 1 species